AUCGAACGCUGGCGGCAGGCCUAACACAUGCAAGUCGAGCGGAUGAAGGGAGCUUGCUCCUGGAUUCAGCGGCGGACGGGUGAGUAAUGCCUAGGAAUCUGCCUGGUAGUGGGGGAUAACGUCCGGAAACGGGCGCUAAUACCGCAUACGUCCUGAGGGAGAAAGUGGGGGAUCUUCGGACCUCACGCUAUCAGAUGAGCCUAGGUCGGAUUAGCUAGUUGGUGGGGUAAAGGCCUACCAAGGCGACGAUCCGUAACUGGUCUGAGAGGAUGAUCGGUCACACUGGAACUGAGACACGGUCCAGACUCCUACGGGAGGCAGCAGUGGGGAAUAUUGGACAAUGGGCGAAAGCCUGAUCCAGCCAUGCCGCGUGUGUGAAGAAGGUCUUCAGAUUGUAAAGCACUUUAAGUUGGGAGGAAGGGCAGUAAGUUAAUACCUUGCUGUUUUGACGUUACCAACAGAAUAAGCACCGGCUAACUUCGUG
rnacentral:rRNA from 1 species